rnacentral:siRNA from 1 species
ACCCAUUAUAAUAUCCUUGUCCC